AGCUUGCUCUCUGGGUGGCGAGUGGCGGACGGGUGAGGAAUACAUCGGAAUCUACUCUGUCGUGGGGGAUAACGUAGGGAAACUUACGCUAAUACCGCAUACGACCUACGGGUGAAAGCAGGGGAUCUUCGGACCUUGCGCGAUUGAAUGAGCCGAUGUCGGAUUAGCUAGUUGGCGGGGUAAAGGCCCACCAAGGCGACGAUCCGUAGCUGGUCUGAGAGGAUGAUCAGCCACACUGGAACUGAGACACGGUCCAGACUCCUACGGGAGGCAGCAGUGGGGAAUAUUGGACAAUGGGCGCAAGCCUGAUCCAGCCAUACCGCGUGGGUGAAGAAGGCCUUCGGGUUGUAAAGCCCUUUUGUUGGGAAAGAAAUCCAGCUGGUUAAUACCCGGUUGGGAUGACGGUACCCAAAGAAUAAGCACCGGCUAACUCUGUGCCAGCAGCCGCGGUAAUACAGAGGGUGCGAGCGUUAAUCGGAUUUACUGGGCGUAAAGCGUGCGUAGGCGGCUUUUUAAGUCGGAUGUGAAAUCCCUGAGCUUAACUUAGGAAUUGCAUUCGAUACUGGGAAGCUAGAGUAUGGGAGAGGAUGGUAGAAUUCCAGGUGUAGCGGUGAAAUGCGUAGAGAUCUGGAGGAAUACCGAUGGCGAAGGCAGCCAUCUGGCCUAAUACUGACGCUGAGGUACGAAAGCAUGGGGAGCAAACAGGAUUAGAUACCCUGGUAGUCCAUGCCGUAAACGAUGUCUACUAGCCGUUGGGGCCUUUGAGGCUUUAGUGGCGCAGCUAACGCGAUAAGUAGACCGCCUGGGGAGUACGGUCGCAAGACUAAAACUCAAAUGAAUUGACGGGGGCCCGCACAAGCGGUGGAGCAUGUGGUUUAAUUCGAUGCACCGCGAAGAACCUUACCUGGUCUUGACAUAGUAAGAACUUUCCAGAGAUGGAUUGGUGCCUUCGGGAACUUACAUACAGGUGCUGCAUGGCUGUCGUCAGCUCGUGUCGUGAGAUGUUGGGUUAAGUCCCGCAACGAGCGCAACCCUUUUCCUUAUUUGCCAGCGGGUUAAGCCGGGAACUUUAAGGAUACUGCCAGUGACAAACUGGAGGAAGGCGGGGACGACGUCAAGUCAUCAUGGCCCUUACGACCAGGGCUACACACGUGCUACAAUGGUCGGUACAAAGGGUUGCUACCUAGCGAUAGGAUGCUAAUCUCAAAAAGCCGAUCGUAGUCCGGAUUGGAGUCUGCAACUCGACUCCAUGAAGUCG
rnacentral:rRNA from 1 species